GUGUGGCUCAGUGGUAGAGCACUUGUCUAGUAUGCAUGAAGCCCUGGGUUUAAUCCCUAGCAC
rnacentral:tRNA from 1 species